UCAGUGAAUCAUCGAGUCUUUGAACGCACAUUGCGCCCCCUGGUAUUCCGGGGGGCAUGCCUGUCCGAGCGUCAU
rnacentral:rRNA from 2 species